rnacentral:rRNA from 1 species
ACUCCUACGGGAGGCAGCAGUGGGGAAUAUUGCACAAUGGGCGCAAGCCCUGAUGCAGCCAUGCCGCGUGUAUGAAGAAGGCCUUCGGGUUGUAAAGUACUUUCAGCAGUGAGGAAGGCGGGGUACGUUAAUAGCGUGCUCGUUUGACGUUAGCUGCAGAAGAAGCACCGGGCUAACUCCGUGCCAGCAGCCGCGNAAUNNCGG